rnacentral:rRNA from 1 species
GCCAGACUCCUACGGGAGGCAGCAGUGGGGGGUAUUGCACAAUGGGGGGAACCCUGAUGCAGCGACGCCGCGUGGGUGAAGAAGUAUUUCGGUAUGUAAAGCCCUCUCGGCAGGGAAGAAAUUGGACGGUACCUGACUAAGAAGCCCUGGCUAACUACGUGCCAGCAGCCGCGGGAAUACGUAGGGGGCAAGCGUUAUCCGGAUUUACUGGGUGUAAAGGGAGCGUAGACGGCAUGGCAAGUCAGAUGUGAAAGCCCGGGGCUCAACCCCGGGACUGCAUUUGAAACUGUCAGGCUGGAGUGCAGGAGAGGUAAGUGGAAUUCCUAGUGUAGCGGUGAGAUGCGUAGAUAUUAGGAGGAACACCAGUGGCGAAGGCGGCUUACUGGACUGUAACUGACGUUGAGGCUCGAAAGCGUGGGGAGCAAACAGGAUUAGAUACCCCCGUAA